rnacentral:rRNA from 1 species
GACAGAGGGUGCAAACGUUGUUCGGAAUUACUGGGCGUAAAGCGCGUGUAGGCUGCUCCGAAAGUCGGAUGUGAAAGCCCUGGGCUCAACCUAGGAUGUGCAUUCGAAACUUCGGAGCUGGAGUUCUGGAGAGGAAGGCGGAAUUCUCGGUGUAGAGGUGAAAUUCGUAGAUAUCGAGAGGAACACCGGUGGCGAAGGCGGCCUUCUGGACAGUGACUGACGCUGAGACGCGAAAGCGUGGGGAGCAAACAGG